ACAGCUAUAUCAUGUUGAAACUCCAGUUCUUGUAUGAUCACUGAAGUUAAGCAACAUUGAGCCUGGUCAGUAUCUAGAUGAGUGACUGCUAGGGAAUACCAGGUGCUGUAA